rnacentral:rRNA from 1 species
AUUGAACGCUGGCGGCAGGCCUAACACAUGCAAGUCGAGCGGAUGAAGGGAGCUUGCUCCUGGAUUCAGCGGCGGACGGGUGAGUAAUGCCUAGGAACCUGCCUGGUAGUGGGGGAUAACGUCCGGAAACGGGCGCUAAUACCGCAUACGUCCUGAGGGAGAAAGUGGGGGAUCUUCGGACCUCACGCUAUCAGAUGAGCCUAGGUCGGAUUAGCUAGUUGGUGGGGUAAAGGCCUACCAAGGCGACGAUCCGUAACUGGUCUGAGAGGAUGAUCAGUCACACUGGAACUGAGACACGGUCCAGACUCCUACGGGAGGCAGCAGUGGGGAAUAUUGGACAAUGGGCGAAAGCCUGAUCCAGCCAUGCCGGGUGUGUGAAGAAGGUCUUCGGAUUGUAAAGCACUUUAAGUUGGGAGGAAGGGCAGUAAGUUAAUACCUUGCUGUUUUGACGUUACCAACAGAAUAAGCACCGGCUAACUUCGUG